rnacentral:lncRNA from 12 species
CGGGAGCCAGCGGUUAAGGGCCGUCGGCCCCCGCGCGGCAGGUGCUGCGGAGUCUCCUUCCGGUGAGACAGCGCUACUGAGCAGGCGCAGGAGCCCCAAGAUGGCGCCCGCCAAGCUCGGUGCGGGGAGAUCCCCAGCCAGCCGCCUCCCGGAAGUGCUGGGGUGGAGGCCUGGCCCUCAGGCCCCCGCUGGGAUGUACGCAGGUGAGCCUCCUCCGCUUCAGGUGCGGGUGUCAUCAGCAGCCUCGGAGUUGGACCCUGGGGCGGGCGACUCGUCCCUCAGAUGGCUGCGCUGUUGGUGUUGUGGGGCCAGGGACGCGAGGCCAAGGCCUGCAAGUGGUUGUAUAUUGCACUCCACUUUACAAAUGAAAUAA